CUCAUAAUAUCCUUCAUCACCACAAACUCGAAACUCUAAAGCCAUGUCUCAGACUAAGAUGAUUUUUUUGCUCAAAAACGCCAAGCCCUUCAAGCAAGGAUGGCUCAUUCAGGUGAAAUUGCUUCAUUCGUGGAGGCAGAGAACCAAAUAUGGAGGAGAUACUUUAGAGUUGAUCUUCGCUGAUCAAACUGGUGAUAAAAUUCACUGUUCAUGCAAGAGGAAUUACAUUCAACGUACGCAAAGGGAGCUGCGUCUUGGUGAAUGGCGACGGAUAGACACGUUUUCAGUGUCCAUGGCAACAGGAAUGUACCGUCCAACAAACCAUACAUUCAAAAUGUCCAUCAUUGAGGAUACUGUUAUUUCAAAAAGUGCUUGUGUGCGUGAUGAUAACUUCCUGAGUUUUCCCAGUUUUGAAGAGAUUGGAAAUGGAACUAUCAAAACUAAUUUCCUAAUUGAUGUCAUUGGUCAAGUGACCAGUCUUCGUGAUGUCCAAACUGUACAGGUUCAGGGCAAGGAUAAGAAGAAAUGGUGUAAGCAUAGCAUUUUGUGUUGUGGGGUAAAUAUGCUGAACAGCUUGAAGAUCAUCACCAACAAACAAAUGAUCCUAACAUGGUGUGCUUGCUCCGGUUUGCGAAAAUUGGGGUUUACAAAGGAGAAGUUCAGGUGACCAAUGCAUUUGAUGCAUCACUAAUCCUUUUCAAUCCUGAAAUAUCCGAAGCUGCUGAAGAUUUCCAAAGAAGAUAUUAGUAAUUUUCUAAUAAUAUAAAACAUCUAUUUAUUUGUAUACACCAAUUGUAUUUUAAAUAGGCAAAAUGAUGACCUUGCUCUUGCUCUUACGAAACCAAAGAAAGAGAAGCGUGUGACCAGAUACCAAGUUGAUGAUUGGAAUGAUGUCGAUGUUAAGUCUAUCUCUGAGAUUAUCAUGGCAACAAUGGUUUGCUUAAUUCUUACAACUAUAUGAUCAUUUGAUUUCCAAACAUUUUAUGAUAUCUUAUUCUUUUUAUCUUGUACGUUUUGGAGGAGGAUUGCAAAAUCAUAUGCUCAAUCGAAUCUAUAGAUACAGAUUGGACUUGGUUUUACCAAGGCCAUGGCAGUUGUAAGAAGAAAGUGAUACUCAUCAAAUCAAAAAGUGGCAAUUUGGAUUCAACUGAUAAACCAGUAUUCUGGUGCACAAAUUGUCGAAUUAAUGUCACGGUUGUAUCUCCAAAAUUCAAAUUGCAUUUGGUUGUCAAAGAUGACACAAGUACUUGCAAACUGAUGAUGCUUGAUACCAUUGCUAAAGCCAUUGUUGGUUGUGAAGCACUUGAGCUUUGUGAUGGUUCCUAUGAUGAGAUUGAAGACCCUGAGGACUUACCAGCGCCUGUAAGAGAUUUGGUUGGGAGAUCUUUUUGUUUUGGUCUUACUCUUGGUUCUGAAAAUAUUUCUUGUGGAUCAGAAAUCUUUUUGGUUUCACAAGUUUUUUCUGGUGACAAGAUUCUCAAAAUCGAGACAAAUUCUGAGCCAAUAACCACUAUUACAGAUGGUUCAUCAAUCAUGUCUGGUGGAGAGGUAUAUUUGUCACGUCGAGUCGAAGAGAUCGAGAAGAAGAAUCGCCGUCGCGUCGCUUGAGAGAGAGAGGCGGUUCUGACUAAACUCGCGAUUUGUCUCCCGCGUGAUUUUGAUUUUGAGUAUAAAGAGAGGGACGGUGGUGAUUCUGCCUUAUUUGUUCUAUGUCGUCGCGUAGGAGACGAAAAGAAUGUUCAUUUUUUUAUUAGUUAUAUUAUUUAGUGAAGGCAGUAUAGACAUUUUGCUCAUUAAUAAAUGUCAUUUAUGUGACUUUCUCCCUCGGAUGUUAUUUUUGAGACAAAAAACUUCAAAUGUGCUAUUUUAGACAAUUGUC